UACAGAGGUCCCAAGCGUUGUUCGGAUUCACUGGGCGUAAAGGGUGCGUAGGUGGUCGGGUAAGUCUGAUGUGAAAUCUCCGAGCUUAACUCGGAAAUGGCAUUGGAUACUAUUCGGCUGGAGGUUUGGAGGGGGGACUGGAAUUCUCGGUGUAGCAGUGAAAUGCGUAGAUAUCGAGAGGAACACCAGUGGCGAAGGCGAGUCCCUGGACAACACCUGACACUGAGGCACGAAAGCUAGGGGGAGCAAACAGG
rnacentral:rRNA from 1 species